UCCACGCCCUAAACGAUGAACACUAGUCGUCGGGGAGCUUGUCUCUUCGGUGAUGCACUUAACAGAUUAAGUGUUCCGCCUGGGGAGUACGGUCGCAAGAUUAAAACUCAAAGGAAUAGACGGGGACCCGCACAAGUGGUGGAGCAUGUGGUUUAAUUCGAAAAUACGCGAAGAACCUUACCUAGCCUUGACAUUGAUAGAACGGACCAGAGAUGGACCGGUGCCUUUCGGGGAACUUGAAAACAGGUGCUGCACGGCUGUCGUCAGCUCGUGUCGUGAGAUGUUGGGUUAAGUCCCGCAACGAGCGCAACCCUCGUCCUUAGUUGCCAGCAGUUCGGCUGGGCACUCUAGGGAGACUGCCUUCGCAAGGAGG
rnacentral:rRNA from 1 species